rnacentral:rRNA from 1 species
GCCUAAAGCGUCCGUAGCCUGCUUUGUAAGUUUCCGGUUAAAUCCAUUAGCUCAACUAAUGGGCCGCCGGAAAAACUGCAAAGCUAGGGAGUGGGAGAGGUAGACGGUACUCGGUAGGAAGGGGUAAAAUCCUUUGAUCUAUUGAUGACCACCUGUGGCGAAGGCGGUCUACCAGAACACGUUCGACGGUGAGGGAUGAAAGCUGGGGGAGCAAACCGGAUUAGAUACCCGGGUAGUCCCAGCUGUAAACGAUGCAGACUCGGUGAUGCGCUGGCUUGUGGCCAGUGCAGUGCCGCAGGGAAGCCGUUAAGUUUGCCGCCUGGGAAGUACGUACGCAAGUAUGAAACUUAAAGGAAUUGGCGGGGGAGCACCACAAGGGGUGAAGCCUGCGGUUCAAUUGGAGUCAACGCCAGAAAUCUUACCCGAGGAGACAGCAGAAUGAAGGUCAAGCUGGAGACUUUACCAGACAAGCUGAGAAGUGGUGCAUGGCCGUCGCCAGCUCGUGCCGUGAGAUGUCCUGUUAAGUCAGGUAACGAGCGAGAUCCCUGCCUCUAGUUGCCACCAUUACUCUCAGGAGUAGUGGGGCGAAUUAGCGGGACCGCCACAGUUAAUGUGGAGGAAGGAAGGGGCCACGGCAGGUCAGUAUGCCCCGAA